rnacentral:rRNA from 1 species
AUUGAACGCUGGCGGAAUGCUUUACACAUGCAAGUCGAACGGCAGCACGGGGCAACCUGGUGGCGAGUGGCGAACGGUGAGUAAUACAUCGGAACGUGCCCAAUCGUGGGGGAUAACGUAGCGAAAGUUACGCUAAUACCGCAUACGAUCUACGGAUGAAAGCGGGGGAUCGCAAGACCUCGCGCGAAUGGAGCGGCCGAUGUCAGAUUAGGUAGUUGGUGGGUAAAGGCUCACCAAGCCAACGAUCUGUAGCUGGUCUGAGAGGACGACCAGCCACACUGGAACUGAGACACGGUCCAGACUCCUACGGAGGCAGCAGUGGGAAUUUGGACAAUGGGCGCAAGCCUGAUCCAGCCAUUCCGCGUGCAGGAUGAAGGCC